rnacentral:snRNA from 12 species
AUUGCUUCUGCUCUGAUCAUGUGUAGUAUCUGUUCUUAUCGGUUUAAUAUUUGAUACGCCCCCUAUCCGUGGACUACAUGUUAAAUUGAUUUUUGGAUCACGGAGCUGGAGCCGGGGCUUGCUUCAUAAAAAAAAAAAAAAAAAAAGUGUUGUGUUCCU